GCCCAAGUGAGGGGUGUUUCGAGGACUGUCUAACCUGAGAAUGGUGAAACAUGAAGGUCAAUCUCAGGUUCGUCAGCCCAUGAGACGCCUUCUCCAGAGCU
rnacentral:pre_miRNA from 13 species